UACGUAGGGUGCAAGCGUUAAUCGGAAUUACUGGGCGUAAAGCGUGCGCAGGCGGUUUGUAAGUCUGACGUGAAAUCCCCGGGCUCAACCUGGGAAUUGCGUUGGAGACUGCAAGGCUGGAGUCUGGCAGAGGGGGGUAGAAUUCCACGUGAUAGCAGUGAAAUGCGUAGAGAUGUGGAAGAACACCUAUGGCGAAGGCAGCUCUCUGGGACGGUACUGACGCUGAGACGCGAAAGCCGUGGGGAGCGAACAGG
rnacentral:rRNA from 1 species